GGUUCGGUAGCUCAGUUGGUAGAGCGCGGGGCUCUUAAUCCCGGCGUCACAGGUUCGAGUCCUGUCCGAAUCAC
rnacentral:tRNA from 1 species